rnacentral:misc_RNA from 1 species
CAGCAACUAUGUCAUUUUCGGUUAUUGCUGAAGCAACGGAUUCAUCAAUAUCUCCUGAAUUGCCAAUGCAUGUAGUACAUCCAUACCCAACUAUAUGGAAUCCUAGCUGAUUAAGAUACUUUUGCAAGCCACUCUUCGCCAAAUAUUUGGUCACCACCCCAGAGCCUGGAGCAAGACUUGUCUUAAUCCAGGGCUUAACCUCUAGUCCAAGCUCACAAGCUUUCUUAGCCACCAAAGCAGCUCCAAGCAUAACGCUUGGGUUUGAGGUAUUUGUGCAGCUAGUGAUAGCUGCAAUUACAACAUCCCCAUGCCUAAGCUGGGCUGGGGAUCCAUGAAAACUGAACUCUGCAACCUUUACUUGAGCUUCCUUUGGUAUGGCAAAACCCUUGAAUCCAACUCUAUUGUCAAGGCAUGAAUGCCAAUCAGCUUUCAUUUCUUUUAAGGGAACUCGAUCAUGUGGUCUCUUUGGACCUGAUAUGCAUGGUUCGACAUCGGAAAGAUUCAGUUCUAUAUGAGAGGAGUACACUCUUUCAACUUGGGGCUCACUGUAGUCUACAAACAUCUUGUUCGCCCUCAGGUAAGAUUCUAUCAUAGAAAUUGUUUCAUCUUUUCUUCCAGUCAGUUUUAGAUACUGCAGGGUGACAUGAUCCACAGGAAAGAAGCCCAUAGUUGCACCGUACUCAGGGGACAUGUUGGCAAUUGUG